GACGAACGCUGGCGGCGUGCCUAAUACAUGCAAGUAGAACGCAGUUGCGAACGGGUGAGUAAAGCGUAGGUAACUGCCUCAUUGCGGGGGAUUACUAUUGGGAACGAUAGCUAAUUCCCCCUACUGUGAGAUGGACCUGCGUUGCAUUAGCUAGUUGGUGAGGGAAACGCUCACCAAGGCGACGAUACAUAGCCGACCUGGGAGGGUGAUCGGCCAAAACGGGGAUGAGAAACGGCCCAGAAUGCUACGGGAGGGAGCAAGAGGGAAUCUUCGGAAAAUGACGGAAGUCUGACCGAGCAAAGCCGCGGGAGUGAAGAAGGUUUUCGGAUCGGAAAGCUCUGUUGUUAGAGAAGCGGUACCUAACCAGAAAGCGACGGCUAACUACGUGCCAGCAGCCGCGGUAAUAC
rnacentral:rRNA from 1 species